GACGAACGCUGUCGGCGUGCUUAACACAUGCAAGUCGAACGGAAAGGCCCUGCUUUUGUGGGGUGCUCGAGUGGCGAACGGGUGAGUAACACGUGAGUAACCUGCCCUUGACUUUGGGAUAACUUCAGGAAACUGGGGCUAAUACCGGAUAGGAGCUCCUGCUGCAUGGUGGGGGUUGGAAAGUUUCGGCGGUUGGGGAUGGACUCGCGGCUUAUCAGCUUGUUGGUGGGGUAGUGGCUUACCAAGGCUUUGACGGGUAGCCGGCCUGAGAGGGUGACCGGCCACAUUGGGACUGAGAUACGGCCCAGACUCCUACGGGAGGCAGCAGUGGGGAAUAUUGCACAAUGGGCGGAAGCCUGAUGCAGCAACGCCGCGUGCGGGAUGACGGCCUUCGGGUUGUAAACCGCUUUCGCCUGUGACGAAGCGUGAGUGACGGUAAUGGGUAAAGAAGCACCGGCUAACUACGUGCCAGCAGCCGCGGUGAUACGUAGGGUGCGAGCGUUGUCCGGAUUUAUUGGGCGUAAAGGGCUCGUAGGUGGUUGAUCGCGUCGGAAGUGUAAUCUUGGGGCUUAACCCUGAGCGUGCUUUCGAUACGGGUUGACUUGAGGAAGGUAGGGGAGAAUGGAAUUCCUGGUGGAGCGGUGGAAUGCGCAGAUAUCAGGAGGAACACCAGUGGCGAAGGCGGUUCUCUGGGCCUUUCCUGACGCUGAGGAGCGAAAGCGUGGGGAGCGAACAGGCUUAGAUACCCUGGUAGUCCACGCUGUAAACGGUGGGUACUAGGUGUGGGGUCCAUUCCACGGGUUCCGUGCCGUAGCUAACGCUUUAAGUACCCCGCCUGGGGAGUACGGCCGCAAGGCUAAAACUCAAAGGAAUUGACGGGGCCCCGCACAAGCGGCGGAGCAUGCGGAUUAAUUCGAUGCAACGCGUAGAACCUUACCUGGGUUUGACAUGGAUCGGGAGUGCUCAGAGAUGGGUGUGCCUCUUUUGGGGUCGGUUCACAGGUGGUGCAUGCCUGUCGUCAGCUCGUGUCGUGAGAUGUUGGGUUAAGUCCCGCAACGAGCGCAACCCUUGUUCACUGUUGCCAGCACGUUAUGGUGGGGACUCAGUGGAGACCGCCGGGGUCGACUCGGAGGAAGGUGGGGAUGACGUCAAGUCAUCAUGCCCCUUAUGUCCAGGGCUUCACGCAUGCUACAAUGGCUGGUACAGAGAGUGGCGAGCCUGUGAGGGUGAGCGAAUCUCGGAAAGCCGGUCUCAGUUCGGAUUGGGGUCUGCAACUCGACCUCAUGAAGUCGGAGUCGCUAGUAGUCGCAGAUCAGCAACGCUGCGGUGAAUACGUUCCCGGGGCU
rnacentral:rRNA from 1 species